UGACGUACUACAUAUGUGCCCCUGCACGCUU
rnacentral:piRNA from 1 species